AACGCUGGCGGCGUGCCUAAUACAUGCAAGUCGAGCGAACGGACGAGAAGCUUGCUUCUCUGAUGUUAGCGGCGGACGGGUGAGUAACACGUGGAUAACCUACCUAUAAGACUGGGAUAACUUCGGGAAACCGGAGCUAAUACCGGAUAAUAUUUUGAACCGCAUGGUUCAAAAGUGAAAGACGGUCUUGCUGUCACUUAUAGAUGGAUCCGCGCUGCAUUAGCUAGUUGGUAAGGUAACGGCUUACCAAGGCAACGAUGCAUAGCCGACCUGAGAGGGUGAUCGGCCACACUGGAACUGAGACACGGUCCAGACUCCUACGGGAGGCAGCAGUAGGGAAUCUUCCGCAAUGGGCGAAAGCCUGACGGAGCAACGCCGCGUGAGUGAUGAAGGUCUUCGGAUCGUAAAACUCUGUUAUUAGGGAAGAACAUAUGUGUAAGUAACUGUGCACAUCUUGACGGUACCUAAUCAGAAAGCCACGGCUAACUAUGUGCCAGCAGCCGCGGUAAUACGUAGGUGGCAAGCGUUAUCCGGAAUUAUUGGGCGUAAAGCGCGCGUAGGCGGUUUUUUAAGUCUGAUGUGAAAGCCCACGGCUCAACCGUGGAGGGUCAUUGGAAACUGGAAAACUUGAGUGCAGAAGAGGAAAGUGGAAUUCCAUGUGUAGCGGUGAAAUGCGCAGAGAUAUGGAGGAACACCAGUGGCGAAGGCGACUUUCUGGUCUGUAACUGACGCUGAUGUGCGAAAGCGUGGGGAUCAAACAGGAUUAGAUACCCUGGUAGUCCACGCCGUAAACGAUGAGUGCUAAGUGUUAGGGGGUUUCCGCCCCUUAGUGCUGCAGCUAACGCAUUAAGCACUCCGCCUGGGGAGUACGACCGCAAGGUUGAAACUCAAAGGAAUUGACGGGGACCCGCACAAGCGGUGGAGCAUGUGGUUUAAUUCGAAGCAACGCGAAGAACCUUACCAAAUCUUGACAUCCUUUGACAACUCUAGAGAUAGAGCCUUCCCCUUCGGGGGACAAAGUGACAGGUGGUGCAUGGUUGUCGUCAGCUCGUGUCGUGAGAUGUUGGGUUAAGUCCCGCAACGAGCGCAACCCUUAAGCUUAGUUGCCAUCAUUAAGUUGGGCACUCUAAGUUGACUGCCGGUGACAAACCGGAGGAAGGUGGGGAUGACGUCAAAUCAUCAUGCCCCUUAUGAUUUGGGCUACACACGUGCUACAAUGGACAAUACAAAGGGCAGCGAAACCGCGAGGUCAAGCAAAUCCCAUAAAGUUGUUCUCAGUUCGGAUUGUAGUCUGCAACUCGACUACAUGAAGCUGGAAUCGCUAGUAAUCGUAGAUCAGCAUGCUACGGUGAAUACGUUCCCGGGUCU
rnacentral:rRNA from 1 species